GAGGGUAUAGCUCAGUGGUAGAGCACAUGCUUAGCAUGCACAAGGUCCUGGGUUCAAGCCCCAGUACCUCCA
rnacentral:tRNA from 1 species